AAGAAUUCUCCUUUUUGGUUUGUUUUCUUUUUUGGCCACCCCACGGCACAUGGAGCUCCCUGGGCCGGGCUGGGGAUCAUACCUGUGUCCCAGUGCUCCCAAGACCCCACUGGCCUCAUUGCACCACAGCAGGAACUCCCUAAGGAAGAAUUUCUGAUGGUUGUAAGAGCCAGGAAGAAACUCAAAAAGGAAAGGGGUGGGGGGGGGGCUAGGCCCGGGAAAUGUGCUCAGGAAAGACAGUUCCAAAGAAGAAACUUUUAAGCUAAGACUGGAAGAACAAGGAGGACCCCACCCUGCCAAGCCCUGGGGGAAAGAACGGUGGCAGAGCAGACAGCAGGCCCAUCCUCCCUCCAACUCAGCAGGGGCCACCCUCGCCCCUUGCCCCCUGACCCAACCAGCUUUGGGCAAUUCUAAAUUCUAAAGCUCCCAGACAGGUAUCAUUUUAAAAUCUUACAUCGCGGGACCAUGCCCGCUAGAAAAUCUGUCCUGACACGUGGGCUAUUUUUAGACUGGUCCACUUGUGUCUCUUCAAGUCCUUUUUCCCCUGUUCAACCGGAAGACCCGAAUCGUCCAGGUACCUCAGCCUCCUCGCCACACCUGAAACUGCAUUCAUCAGCCACUUUUUCAAAAUUGGAUCUUCCUUCAAAGCUGAAGGACUUGAUUACUCCCCUAACAGAACACAUCACGCUGAUUACGGGAUUAUUCACGUGCCAUUUCAAAGAGGCUGGGCAACAUUUCACAGCCUCGCAGCCGCCAACACACACAGACGCGAAAGCGGAAAAGGCGAUGCUGAUAGUCAAAUGCCCUCCAUCUCCUGAGGUCAUGAUAAAAUACACUCUUUUUUUAACUGAUGUUUUAAAGCGGGGGGAGGGGUAGUUAUUUUGGCACAAGACAUAAAUCAAAGAAGAAAGCACCAGCAGGGAUGCAGAUAUGGGGUUGUUUCUGGGAUCUGACACACACCAGACCCUCAGUAAGCACGGGAUCCCCUCCCCGUACUCCUAGCCUUCCAUACCCGAGCAUUAAUUUUGAUGCCAAUAAUUUGCCAAUAACAUAUUCAUUGGCUCGUUUUUUAGAACUGUCAGUCUAAUGCUGUGUUUUCAACCUGCUGGCAAUUGAUUCAGCUUCAUCAAUUCAUAAGAAUGGCUUGGGGUGAGAACAGGGGUGAGGAGGUGAAGCUUUAUAGCCAUGAUUCACUGCUAAUCGAUGGUUAGCAUUUUACGCUCAAGACAAUCAAAUUCAUAUUAUUGUACAUUUUAAAAGUUUGUAAAGGCAUAAUUAUUAACAGCCAAAAUGAAAACAGGGCAUCACAAGUUCAAAUAAGCCAUAAAUUAGACAAAAAAAAGCAUCAUUCUACUGAACACCAUUUUAUUAGCUAAUCAACGUGUCGUCUUUUUUCUAUCGGCAUCUACUUACUGUCAUAUAAUUUCCAUAAGGGCACCAUCUGUAUUUAUAAAAAGAAUUAUCUUUGUGGUGCUCUAGCAAUCUGCAAACAAUGGUGAUAUUUAACUUUUCUUAAGGGAUCAAUUUUGGAAUUGGGUUAAAGGAUUUAUAAGUCUCUUUUUCAUGAUGAACCUCAAAAGGACUUAUACAUCUUGUGGUGUUAGAAGCACUUGACAUAAACAAACAAAAACCAACAAAACACAUUUUUGAUUUAUUAAAAUGUGACGUUCUGGGUCUUGACGUGCAUGUUUUUUAAUCAAGCACAGUGGGUCCCUACUAUAAAGUCCAAUAAAACAAUCACAGGCAAAAUAUUUUCUUUUUUCCAUUUUGGCUGAAAGGGCAGGUUAAUUUUCAACGUGAUCUGAUUUGGUGCCCCAUGGCUCAGAGAGAACUCAGUAUUUGCCAAGGUCACUGCUUUGAGGUUAAUCAGCAUCCAGCCAGCUCCCUCAGUUAUGACACAUGAUCAAACCCUGCCUUGACCAGUUCUUAAUGCUAGCCUUGCAAGGGCAAGUCCCUGGCUUAAGGAUGGCUAGUCAAGCUGGCGGGAAUGAGCCUGCAAGCCCCGUACCACCGACGGAGCAGAAACUCACAAGAGAAGCCCUUCCACUGGACACAGACUUCCUAGAUAGAUGACACCACAGGGGUGCAGGGAAACAUUUGUUUAAAGGGCUUCUAUAGCUACCAAAAGGACCCCAGAAAGUACAGUCUUUGGUUCUAUAAAGGCGCAUUACUUCGGCUUUGAGCCAGUCCAAAGAGCAAGAUACAGUUUGAAAGAAUCCAUCAAAGACAAAUGUCUCAUUCUUGGUUAGGAUGCAAAUUUCUCCACUAAUAAUUACUUUGUAAAUUUCAUUUUAAACAAGAUUUAGAAGGACUAUGAUUCAAAAUCUCUGACAUACUCACCAACAAAAGCAAAACACAAACUAUUAUUUAUACUUCAUUGAUCAAGAUUCCUUAAUUUGUACAUGUUCUUGGAUUUCUUCCAAAUAUCAAGGACGGUAUUAAGUAUUAGGCACAGUGAACAAAACAGUCUCUGCCCUCCUGGAGUUUAUUGUCUUUUUAAAAAAGUAUGUGUGGGAGUUCCAGUGGUGGCUCAGCAGUAACAAACCCAACUAGGAUUCAUGAGAAUUCAGGUUCAAUCCCCAGCCUCGCUCAGUAGGUUAAAGAUCCCUCGUUCCUGUGAGUUGCAGCGUAGGUCAAAGAUGAGGCUCUGAUCUGGUGUGGCUGUGGCUGUGGCUGUGGCUGUGGUGUAGGCCAGCAGCUGCAGCUCCAUUUGACCCCUAGCCUGGGAACUUCCAUAUGCUGCAGAUUCAAAAUAAAUUAAUUAAUUAAUUAAUUUAAUGAAAUGAAAGAAAAAAUUGUGUAGAAAUUCAUCAAAUCAUAUUAGUAAUUUACAUAAGAUGUGUCACUAUCUAUUCUUUCUAAUACUGGUUUGUUGCUUUUAUUUUUAUUUUUUUAUUUUUUGUCUUUUUGCCGUUUCUAGGGCCGCUCUCGCAGCAUGUGGAGGUUCCCAGGCCAGGGGUCGAAUCAGAGCUGUAGCUGCCAGCCUGCACCAGAGCCACAGCAACGCAGGAUCCAAGCCGCGUCUGCAACCUACACCACAGCUCACGGCAACACCAAAUCCUUAACCCACUGAGCAAGGCCAGGGAUCGAACCCACAACCUCAUGGUUCCUAGUCGGAUUCGUUAACCACUGGGCCACAACGGGAACUCCCUGGUUUGUUGCUUUUAAAACAUUUUUUAAAGUAAUUUGAUUAUGCACUGGGACCAGGAAAUAAUUCUUCUGCAUUUGGGACAGUUCAUUUAUUUUUUUGUUUGUCUUUUGAAAUGAUAUGUGUGGAAAUGCUUAAAAUUUGAAGAAACGUUGAUCACUGACUAUUUGACAUAUGUUAAUAAAAUGGAGACUGUUUAGGGAAACAUAAUAAAAAACAUAUUCCAGAAUGGAAAAUGGGUCUUCUUGGGGAAGGAACUCUGGAAGCAGAUGAGUCCUCUAUUCAAGUCCUGGCUCUUCCACUGUGUAGGAAACAUAUUUCCAAGUCUCAGUCCCCUUAUCCAUAAAAGGGGCGAAUUACAAGAAGACAUGAGUAUAAUAGAUGCUAGUAGCUGAGCAGGAAAUCCUUCAUCCCACAUCGACAUCGUCAUCACAAAAAGAACUCAAGAUCCAUCGUAAUUCAAAGCCGUUUCAGAGUAUCCUGGGGGGACCCCAAAGGAAGCAGGGAACAAUCUAUCCCGAGAAAACACUAGAAUUUAAGUCGGAAAUCCCGGGCUCAAAUCCCAACGCUUCUCAUGCUAACUUGUGCGCACUUGAAUAAAACCCUUAAACUUCAGAGUCUCGGUUUUCCCUGCUCUGACAUGGACCUAAUAGAACUUAAAGAGAUAAUACGUGAUGAAGAGCCAUACACAUCAUUAUACAUCAUCUCAUCAAAUACAGGACAUGACUAAUUUUACAGGAAAGCACAUUCUGACAAUAAUCUACCAUAGAAUGAUCUCUCUCUCUUCUUUUUAUCUUUUUAUGGUGGAGCCUGCAGCACACGGAAGAUCCCAGGCUAGAGGACGAAUCAGAGCUGCAGCUGCUGGCCUAGCCACAGCCAGGGCAACGCUGGAUCCAAGCCAUAUCUGCAACCUACACCGUAGCUUGUGACAAUGCCUAACCCACUGAGCAAGGCCAGGGAUCAAACCCACGUCCUCAUGGAUACCAUAUUGGGCUUAACCGCUGAGCCACAAUGGGAACUCUGAAUGAUCUCUUUUUUAACCACCCAGGUUAAAAACUCCCAGAAAGAUCACGAACCUGAAUUUCCCAUCCAUCGGAUCAAUGGACGAAUAGCAUCUCUUAAAUCCUCUGGGCUCUGGUUUCUGGUCAGGAAAAUAACAUACCCAUUGUGAGGAUUAGAAGUCAGAUGUACAAAGUGCCCAGGAGAGGUCUCAUCGCACCGUCCAUCCCUCUCCGUUAAACCACGAUUCGGUACAUUUCAUUUGUAGUAUGUAUAUUCCCACACUCGAAAACGCUUCAAAUGAUAAAGCAUUAUAAAUAACCUUUGGGUGAUCUUUAAAUAAUUCUUUAUGGUUUGGAGGGGAAAAAAAAAAUCUAUAGAAACAUAAACUAUCCAGGGUGUCAAAUCUACAGUAUAAUUAUUUUGUAUGAUCCCGGCUAAUAUAGUUCAAUCUAAAUUGCAGUCUCAUAUUUGACAUAAUUAUACAUAACCAAACACUAAUAAAAAUUGCUGCCUUAUAUUUCAAAUUAGUAAUUAUGGUAGUAAACAUUAACAACAUGUCAGAUAUAAGAUGGCGAUUUGUUCUGAAAUGUAUUAGAAAUCAUUAUACUGUAUGAUAAUUGUAAUUACAGUUGGGUAGCGAGAGAGUGCGCGGUUAGGGCUCCAAGGGCAUCAUGGGAACCGGCCGCUCUUUGGUUCAGCCCCAGAGCUGACUCCCUUCGUUUGAGAUCAGGAGAGGCACGAUCUUUCUCCUCCUUCAAAUAGCAAACCCAAUUCCCUCUGCAGAAUCAGCCCCAUCACGAGGCUUGGAGUCACUCUUCCAGGGUUUGAAAAGCCUCAUUCAAUCACUUUCUAGCCAUAUGGAUUUGGCUGACAGGAAUUUUUCUGUGCUUCUGUUUUCUCUCACCUUUAAAAUGGAAACCGUAGUAGCACUAGCUGGGAGAGUGAUAACAGCAGCUACAUGAGAUCAUUCUGUGUGCAAAGCUUAGCCUGGCACCUGGAACACAGUAAGUCUUCAAAACACAGUCACAUUGGUUAUUAUCAUUUUAUAUUAAUAUUCAGAGCAGGAGUUCCCAUCAUGGCACAGCGGAAACGAAUCCGACUAGGAACCAUGAGGUUGCGGGUUCGAUCCCUGGCCUCCCUCAGUGGGUUAAGGAUCCAGUGUUGCCGUGAGCUGUGGUGUAGGUCACGGACUCGGCUUGGAUCCUGAAUUGCUGUGGCUCUGGCACAGGCCUUCAGCUACAGCUCCAAUUAGCCCCCUAGCCUGGGAACCUCCAUAUGCCGCAGGUGUGGCCCUAAAACGAACAAAAAAAAAAAAAAAAAAAAAAUUCACAGCAAUCAUCUUCCUAAUUUUAAGACCAUGUUCUUAAUAACAGUGGCCUAAGAGUGGCCAAAUGUCCUGUGUAGAAGAGAAAUAUGCUGAAUGUUAGCUUCUACUGUGGUCUUCCUUUUAUUUUAUUUUAUUUUAUUUUUUUUUCUUUUUAGAGCCGCACCUGCGGCAUAUUCAAGUUCCUAGGCUGGAGGUUGAAUCAAAGCUGCCAGCCCACCCCACAGCCACAGCCACGCCAGAUCCCAGCCACAUCAGCGACCUAUGCCACAGCUUGCAGCAACAUCAGAUCAUUAACCCACAGAGGGGGGCCAGGGAUCAAACCCAUAUCCUCAUGGAUACCAGUCAGGUUCUUAACUCACUGAGCCACAACGGGAGCUCCAGGACACGAGUUUUCCAAACUUAGUUUUUCUCUCCUUUCCUUUCUCCUUCCACUUCUUUUUGCUCACUCAGUGUUGUGAGUCAAUGUGAAAACCCUCUUCUUCAUACUUGCACCUCACAGGGAUGUCUGGCUUCAGCUCAUCUCUUCAUGGCCCCUGCUUUCAUAUUGCCCUUAACCAUGGCCUCUCCACAUGGUCUAGCGUCCACCCCAAGCUCCAUUCAGGAUGACACUGAAAAGACGCUGCAACAGUCCUUUCCCCACAAGUGAGAGUAAGAGCCCCCACCUGCACCCACAGGACAGCUGGGCACACCUGAGGUCUGAUCACUAGACUCUCAUUUCGGAUCUCCCGCCCCACCGACACCCUCCUCCCUCAAAAAUGAAAGUCAUUAUUCUAACAUAAAACCCAUUUCUUUAUUCAGUUGCCUACUCCUAUCACUUUUCAACAUCUCUAGAUUUAUCCCAUUU
rnacentral:lncRNA from 1 species